rnacentral:lncRNA from 1 species
CCCUUUGAGAGCAUUCACCAGAAUGAUCUUGAUCAGAUUAACCGGGGUUGGGUGCCAACUGCCUAGGGAUUAGGACACAGAAGAGAAGGGCACCAAGGAAGGCAGAAGAAACAGCACAACAACUGCCUGAGCUACAUGAUGACUCCAUCCCCAGUUGCAGCAGAACCUGCCUACUGCUCCCUGAACUCAUCAUGCCCAUGGAUGGCCGCCUAUUACAAACACUUGUGACUGAAGAAGUCAGCAGAGAUGUUCUGAAGAUGUAGAUUCCAUUCUGAAAGAAAAGUGAAGUUUGAACCACACUUCGAGAAGUGCCAACUGCAGGGAGGGUGAAAGGCUAGUCCUCCAGUUCCCUGGGAUGAAUGUGGGCACAAGAAGUAAAUGUUACUGAAGAUG